CAUUACACAAAUAUGAAGCCGGACUGGGAUAGGGCCUCGCUGCCUUGCCCGUCUGGCGCCAUAUUCACCCAUGUCUUUUUGCGUACUACUUGUUUCCUUGGCGGGUCCGCCCGCCAAUUGGACCUUAUUCAAACCUUUUUUUCAGUUGCAAUCAGCGUCAGCAAAACAAAUGUAAUCAAUUACAACUUUCAACAACGGAUCUCUUGGUUCUGGCAUCGAUGAAGAACGCAGCGAAAUGCGAUAAGUAGUGUGAAUUGCAGAAUUCAGUGAAUCAUCGAAUCUUUGAACGCACAUUGCGCCCUUUGGUAUUCCAAAGGGCAUGCCUGUUCGAGCGUCAUUUGUACCCUCAAGCUUUGCUUGGUGUUGGGCGUCUUGUCUCUCUCCCGAGACUCGCCUUAAAAUCAUUGGCAGCCGGCCUACUGGUUUCGGAGCGCAGCACAUUAUUUGCGCUCUUGUCCAGCCGCGGUCGCGCGUCCAUGAAGCUUCUUUCAACCUUU
rnacentral:rRNA from 1 species